GCACAAGGUAUCCAUGCUCGACC
rnacentral:siRNA from 1 species